rnacentral:rRNA from 1 species
GUAGUUAGCCGGCGCUUCUUCUGCAGGUACACGUCAACUUCGUCCCUGCUGAAAGAGGUUUACAACCCGAUGGCCGUCAUCCCCCACGCGGCGUCGCUGCGUCAGGCUUCCGCCCAUUGCGCAAUAUUCCCCA